rnacentral:rRNA from 1 species
AAUAGAUACCCCGGUAGUCCACGCCGUAAACGAUGAGUGCUAGGUGUUGGGGGCAUCACGUCCUCAGUGCCGAAGGAAACCCAAUAAGCACUCCGCCUGGGGAGUACGGCCGCAAGGCUGAAACUCAAAGGAAUUGACGGGGGCCCGCACAAGCGGUGGAGCAUGUGGUUUAAUUCGAAGCAACGCGAAGAACCUUACCAAGGCUUGACAUCCCAUUGACCGCACUAGAGAUAGUGCUUCCCUUCGGGGCAAUGGUGACAGGUGGUGCAUGGUUGUCGUCAGCUCGUGUCGUGAGAUGUUGGGUUCAGUCCCGCAACGAGCGCAACCCUUAUCCUUAGUUGCCAGCAGGUAAAGCUGGGCUCUCUAAGGAGACAGCCGGUGAAAGCCGGAGGAAGGUGGGGAUGACGUCAAAUCAUCAUGCCCCUUACGUCUUGGGCUACACACGUGCUACAAUGGAUGGUACAAAGGGCAGCAAAACCGCGAGGUCGAGCAAAUCCCAUAAAGCCAUUCUCAGUUCGGA